rnacentral:rRNA from 1 species
UACGUAGGGGGCAAGCGUUGUCCGGAAUUAUUGGGCGUAAAGGGCGCGUAGGCGGCCUGCUAAGUCGGAUGUGAAAUCCCUCGGCUCAACCGAGGAACUGCAUCCGAUACUGGCGGGCUUGAAUCCGGGAGAGGGAUGUGGAAUUCCAGGUGUAGCGGUGAAAUGCGUAGAUAUCUGGAGGAACACCGGUGGCGAAGGCGGCAUCCUGGACCGACACUGACGCUGAGGAGCGAAAGCCAGGGGAGCAAAGCGGGG